ACCUACGGGGGGCAGCAGUGAGGAAUAUUGGUCAAUGGCCGGAAGGCUGAACCAGCCAAGCCGCGUGAAGGACGAAGGUGCCAAGCAUUGUAAACUUCUUUUGUCAAGGGACAAAAUCAGGCUCGAGAGCCUGACCGAGGGUACUUGAAGAAAAAGCAUCGGCUAACUCCGUGCCAGCAGCCGCGGUAAUACGGAGGAUGCGAGCGUUAUCCGGAUUUAUUGGGUUUAAAGGGUGCGUAGGCGGACUGUUAAGUCAGCGGUAAAAGACCGGGGCUCAACCCCGGUGAGCCGUUGAAACUGGAUGU
rnacentral:rRNA from 1 species